CCUACGGGAGGCAGCAGUAGGGAAUAUUGGGCAAUGGAGGCAACUCUGACCCAGCCAUGCCGCGUGCAGGAAGAAGGCGUUAUGCGUUGUAAACUGCUUUUAUAUAGGAAGAAAUAGACCUUGCGAGGUAAGUUGACGGUACUAUAUGAAUAAGCACCGGCUAACUCCGUGCCAGCAGCCGCGGUAAUACGGAGGGUGCAAGCGUUGUCCGGAUUUAUUGGGUUUAAAGGGUGCGUAGGCGGUUUAUUAAGUCAGUGGUGAAAGACGGUCGCUCAACGAUUGCAGUGCCAUUGAUACUGGUAGACUUGAGUGGGAUUGAGGUAGCUGGAAUGGAUAGUGUAGCGGUGAAAUGCAUAGAUAUUAUCCAGAACACCAAUUGCGUAGGCAAGUUACUAAGUCUCAACUGACGCUGAGGCACGAAAGUGUGGGUAUCAAACAGGAUUAGAUACCCUGGUAGUCCACACUGUAAACGAUGAUAACUAACUGUUGGCUUUCGGGUCAGUGGUACAGAGAAUCGUUAAGUUAUCCACCUGGGGAGUAACGCCGGCAACGGUUGAAACUUCAAAGGAAUUGACGG
rnacentral:rRNA from 1 species